GCCUACGGGACGCAGCAGUGGGGAAUAUUGCACAAUGGGGGAAACCCUGAUGCAGCGACGCCGCGUGAGCGGAGAAGGAUUUCGGUAUGUAAAGCUCUAUCAGCAGGGAAGAAAAUGACGGUACCUGACUAAGAAGCUCCGGCUAAAUACGUGCCAGCAGCCGCGGUAAUACGUAUGGAGCAAGCGUUAUCCGGAUUUACUGGGUGUAAAGGGAGCGUAGGCGGUAAGGCAAGUCUGAUGUGAAAG
rnacentral:rRNA from 1 species